UAACUAACCCUUCUAAAUUUUUGCAGUAGGUGCCUGCAAUUACAGAUGGGAGUGAAUGCUAACGGGUAUACGCCAGAGGGCAUUCAGACAGCAUGAAGUAGGAGUUUGUAAGUAGAAAAUGAGAGAUGAAGCAUGAGCAGGAGAAAAAGUAAAGGCAGCGAAAGCAGCACCGUGCUCCUGAACCAAAAUGCAGCGAACCGGAUGGUGUGGAUACUGAGGACAGCCAUGCAAGAGGAACCAAGCCAGGAAAUCCUAAUGUUCUUCUGGGUGCUAAUUCCAACUCUUAAUCAAGAUCUGAUUACCAAAAAGGAAGACAGAACAUAAAAAUGCUAUAAAGAUGAAGUUGCUGCAACGUUCUUAUAUGGGCUGAAAAUUAUUCAGAAUGAAGAAACAAAGGACCAGAUUUACCAGUAUGCGCUGGCUGUUUUACACCGCUCCAGCCCCAGAGAAUCUGCCCCCAAUAUUUGAUAAUAGCUAAACCGAGCAGCACCACU